UCCUACGGGGGGCAGCAGUGGGGAAUAUUGCACAAUGGGGGGAACCCUGAUGCAGCGACGCCGCGUGGGCGAUGGAGUAUUUCGGUAUGUAAAGCCCUAUCGGCAGGGAAGAAACUGACAGUACCUGACUAAGAAGCCCCGGCUAACUACGUGCCAGCAGCCGCGGUAAUACGUAGGGGGCAAGCGUUAUCCGGAUUUACUGGGUGUAAAGGGAGCGUAGGCGGUUUAGCAAGUCAGAAGUGAAAGCCCGGGGCUCAACUCCGGGACUGCUUUUGAAACUGUUGAACUAGAUUGCAGGAGAGGUA
rnacentral:rRNA from 1 species